AUUGAACGCUGGCGGCAGGCCUAACACAUGCAAGUCGAGCGGAUGAAGGGAGCUUGCUCCUGGAUUCAGCGGCGGACGGGUGAGUAAUGCCUAGGAAUCUGCCUGGUAGUGGGGGAUAACGUCCGGAAACGGGCGCUAAUACCGCAUACGUCCUGAGGGAGAAAGUGGGGGAUCUUCGGACCUCACGCUAUCAGAUGAGCCUAGGUCGGAUUAGCUAGUUGGUGGGGUAAAGGCCUACCAAGGCGACGAUCCGUAACUGGUCUGAGAGGAUGAUCAGUCACACUGGAACUGAGACACGGUCCAGACUCCUACGGGAGGCAGCAGUGGGGAAUUUUUGGCGAUGGGCGAAAUCCUGAUCCAGCCAUGCCGCGUGUGUGAAGAAGGGCUUCGGAUUGUAAAGCACUUUAAGUUGGGAGGAAGGACAGUAAUUUUAUACCUUGCUGUUUUGACGGUACCAACAGAAAAAGCACCGGCUAACUUCGUG
rnacentral:rRNA from 1 species